rnacentral:rRNA from 1 species
AUUGAACGCUGGCGGCAGGCCUAACACAUGCAAGUCGAGCGGAUGAAGAGAGCUUGCUCUCUGAUUUAGCGGCGGACGGGUGAGUAAUGCCUAGGAAUCUGCCUGGUAGUGGGGGAUAACGUUCCGAAAGGAACGCUAAUACCGCGUACGUCCUACGGGAGAAAGCAGGGGACCUUCGGGCCUUGCGCUAUCAGAUGAGCCUAGGUCGGAUUAGCUAGUUGGUGAGGUAAUGGCUCACCAAGGCGACGAUCCGUAACUGGUCUGAGAGGAUGAUCAGCCACACUGGAACUGAGACACGGUCCAGACUCCUACGGGAGGCGGCAGUGGGGAAUAUUGGACAAUGGGCGAAAGCCUGAUCCAGCCAUGCCGCGUGUGUGAAGAAGGUCUUCGGAUUGUAAAGCACUUUAAGUUGGGAGGAAGGGCAUUAACCUAAUACGUUAGUGUUUUGACGUUACCGACAGAGUAAGCACCGGCUAACUUCGUGCCAGCAGCCGCAGUAACAC